rnacentral:rRNA from 1 species
GCGGACCUCAUAAAGUAUGUCGUAGUCCGGAUUGGAGUCUGCAACUCGACUCCAUGAAGUCGGAAUCGCUAGUAAUCGUGGAUCAGAAUGCCACGGUGAAUACGUUCCCGGGCCUUGUACACACCGCCCGUCACACCAUGGGAGUGGGUUGCAAAAGAAGUAGGUAGCUUAACCUUCGGGAGGGCGCUUACCACUUUGUGAUUCAUGACUGGGGUGAAGUCGUAACAAGGUAACCGUAGGGGAACCUGCGGUUGGAUCACCUCCUUACCUUAAAGAA